AGAACUGAUAUUUCAAACAGUGGAAUGAAGGGGUAACGCCCUGAAACGCUGACCUGAAACCACGAUAUGCGAAAAUUUGUGCAACCGAAAAUUCGUAUAAAGUUCGUUAAGGACGGCAGAAGUUUACCCAAACAGGUCGAAAGACGCUGUGGAAAAUUGCUUGGAGGCAAGCGACGUAAAUGAUAUGUCGGGGGUCUAUAAA
rnacentral:ncRNA from 2 species